rnacentral:rRNA from 1 species
GACGAACCGUGCGAACGUUGUUCGGAAUCACUGGGCUUAAAGGGCGCGUAGGCGGGCCGCCGCGUCCGGGGUGAAAUCCUCCCGCUCAACGGGAGAACGGCCUCGGAUACGGGCGGCCUGGAGGGGGGUAGGGGCAGGCGGAACGCUGGGUGGAGCGGUGAAAUGCGUUGAUAUCCAGCGGAACUCCGGUGGCGAAGGCGGCCUGCUGGAUCAUCACUGACGCUGAGGCGCGAAAGCCAGGGGAGCGAACGGG